rnacentral:rRNA from 1 species
UACGAAGGGGGCUAGCGUUGCUCGGAAUUACUGGGCGUAAAGCGCACGUAGGCGGAUUGUUAAGUCGGGGGUGAAAUCCUGGAGCUCAACUCCAGAACUGCCUUCGAUACUGGAAAGCUCGAGUCCGGGAGAGGUGAGUGGAACUGCGAGUGUAGAGGUGAAAUUCGUAGAUAUUCGCAAGAACACCAGUGGCGAAGGCGGCUCACUGGCCCGGUACUGACGCUGAGGUGCGAAAGCGUGGGGAGCAAACAGG